ensembl:lncRNA
AGCACUGUGCUCCCAGGCUCAUCCUGUGCUUGGCUGGAUAACGCUGCGCUCGCUGACUCUUCCCUUUGGAAUGAGCAACGCUCUUCCCACAGCCAGGCACGGCCACUGAGAAGACUUUGCAGAGCAUCUUGUUGCCGCUUAUAUUUCUGGCACCAGCUCUUACAAACACUGCCAGCUGGAUUUUAUGACACGUCAUUGAGGGGCUGCCAGCAGUCAGGUCACAGUGCCAUAGACCUCCAGAUGGAAAAACUGCCUAUCUUCAGCUCUGCAGACAUGAAAAAGUGCAAGUGGGAAAUGCUCACCUAAUGUACAAAAGUAACGUCUAAUAGCUGGAGAAGGUCUGAAGAUCCUGUCAACUGCAGCUGGUACCUGUGAGACUUCUUGGAUGAUGUCUGUGUUUGUGUCUAAUUCUAGACUGCCUUCCUCUGCACACUUUCUGCUGCUGAACAAGGGAGACAUUUCUUAAUACAACACUGCAAGAAGCUCAUGGCACCCUCAUACUGCCAUGACAAAUAUGAUUUUGGAGCACGUACAAAAUCAAAUAGGAUAAAUAAACCAUUAGCCAAGCAUUUUAGCCAACGUGACUUUGUUUUGUUAUUUACAGUAAUUGUAAAAUUGUGAACAAUUUAGGAAAAGUGGGAAAAGUUCUCAGAUUAUUAGUUUGAUCUUGGUACUUUGCCAUAUGACUGCUGGGAAUUUGUUUUUUUUUUCCAGGAAUGGGAAUGGUGAGGAGGAGUAGGGAGGGUAUUAUGAGGAAUCUAAAGCUUAUUGGGUGAAGAGACAGAAUUUAAGAUUAGAGCUUUAUGACACACGAUGACUCCUUGCUGUGUCUUGAUUUCUAUUUCAUUCUUUUUGACGCUAUCAAAAUGGCAAGUGCACCAAAAGCUUCACAACAUGACUGUAAAAAUCCUCACACCCCUGAAGCAGGACUAAUACAAAGGGCUGGUGCACCUCUGUGGACCCUUACUGGCUUCUGUGUUUGCACACGUCCAGCUGUCUGAGACGCUGGGAGAAAGCAUUCAGCAUCACUGCCAUUCCUGAGUGUGCUUUGGCAGAUACAAAGUCCAGGCAGAAGCAAUCAGCCCUACAUGAGCAACAGCCCUGAGGACCACUGAUGCCUUGGAGAGGGUGUAAUGCUUCCAGUGUCGGAUGAAAACUAACUAUACAUUAUGUUAUCUACUUAUUGCAUAGCGUUCACCAAGUUGGUACUUCUAUCUGAAAACCUCCCAGACAAAAAAGAGAAAGGACAAAUUGUAUCGAGGACAAGAAAACUUCACAGGGAACUUUUUGCUAGCACAAUGCCUGUCCUUUGAUUCAGCUGCUGUCUGACCAACAACAUCUCCCUUGUUUUCAUUGCUGUCAGACAAAAGAGCAGCAGCUCUGAAGAUUGUCAAGGCAUUUUUUGAGAAUAAGCCGGACACAGGACCCAAGUAGUCAUCCUUAGAGAUUUACGUCAUCCUUUGGUGCUUUGCCCGUCUAAAUAGAGCCUGCUUCAAAGAAAUGACAUAGCCCCCUUGAUGGCAAAGUGCAGGCACUGGGAGAAAGCUUUUGGAUUUCUGACUGCUUCACAGCACAAGUCCUUGCCUCAGAGAAAUUCAAGUUUACCAAAAGCCCUUCAGUCAUUUUUCUGUUUCGUUUCCCCAAUGCCCACCAGAUUAGAACACAGCUUGGCAAUGUCACUAGAAGAAAGAGAGAGAAAAGAAAACAACAAAGUACUUCAGACAGAAAUGUUCUUUCAUUUCUAUGACUUUUGGAAAGUUUCAAAUUUCAUCUGGUACUGUGUGCAAAAUCAACAGGUCUGUGCAAAUAUGUCGGCAUACGUAAGAUUGACAAGUGGUGAAAGUUGACAAACUCCCAUCAGAGCCAAAGCAAUCUCUGCAGUGUGUGCUGAUGGAAGAACUCCUGCUCUCCCUUGAUGAAGAUAAGGGUCUUUUAUAGUAAAAUGAAAACAAGGAAUCAAAGGAUGAGAAUCAGUCUUCCAGUAUCUCAUCUGAUGUGUGACUUGAUCGAGGGAUAUUCGUGAUUCCCAGCAUCACAGGCGAGAUGGGAAAGGAACAUGGGUUGCUGAGACUGUUCCCUGGCAGCUACUUGUAAGCAUACAGAGAUGAGCUUUUAUGGACAUUCGUGGUUUAACAGAAAAUGGUACUAACGUACCAUGAUAUUCAUAACCUCAAACUGUGAUGUUCUCAAAGACCAAGAGAUGUUUAAUUAUUGUAAGAAUGGAUCUGUUCCUUUGCAUCCUGAUGUAGUAGCCCACAGGCACAUGUUUUCAAGAUUCCCACUGCAACUACUAAGAUAGAAAAGCAGAGCCUGUCAUGUAAACACAUGAUUCUGGAAGGCAGGGCUAUGUGAAGAAAAAGUAGAGUUUAAAUGGAGUUUUGAGGUAGCUGGAAGAAUAGACAAUGUUGACACUGCAUGUUUUCAGUAACAUUUAUACUCUAUCUUGGUCAUACAGAGGUCUAGAUACAUACACAUAUAUAUUAUAACUACUCUGUUGACCUUAGUUACUAGUUGUCUUCUAAACCUCAUGUAAAAUCUUCAGGUAUUAAAUACACAGAAACAGCUAUGUAAGCUAGGCGAAGUUGUUAAUUUUUUUCUGAUACUAUUUCUUAACAAUAAUUGUUUGUAUCGAGUGGUUGUAAAUCUAUGUCAUAUAUAACAUUCUGCUU